UUAAUUUUUACACGAGGGUGCUUCCAUCGUGAUAAUAAAUAUUUAUUUACACGUGAUUAGUUUUACGAUACGAAUGGGAUAGUGCCAUUU